UAAGAAAUAUUUUCUAUAUAAGUUAUUACGAGGACGAGGACGUGCAAAAAAGAACGUCUUCCUUGCGCACACAUCAGUUCGGGUAAGUUCGGCUGAAGUCGGUGACGUCAACGUGCGCAAUAGUUCAGUGCGCAUUGACAAAGGAAAGAGAGAGAAGGAGAAUAUUGAGGAUGAAACGCAAAGAGAGCACGGUUAUACCGGGCGAGGAGAGAGUGUAACGCCUGAUAAGACCGAGCGAUGGUCGCUCUCGUGAGAGUGCGUGAUCCGAGUAACGUACCUUUUCUAUUUUGACAGUUCUGCCUUUCGUCCCGUUGAAGAAAAACAGAUAAGGAUAAUAUCUGAGGAAAUUCAAUAUCGGAAUAAAAACUGUACUUUUUUAAAUACACAGGUAUCACAACACAACGAAUCCGCCAUUAUACUUUAUGUCUCUCUCUGUUUUAUUAUUUUUUAUUUUCCUUUUUUCGACUCGAUACACAAGUUUCUCUCUCUCUUUUCUUUGAUCGUUUCACUUUAUCCUUUCUAUCGAUUUCAUAGAACGAGGAUGCAAGUUGUCGUGAUCGUAGUUUAGUUUGUUCGCGGGUGUCAUUGAACGCCGUUGAAUUUGAAUAGAGUGCGAGAGAGAUAGGUAGACGGACAGAGAGAGAGAUAUAUAAAAUAGAAAAGGAAAGCUUAAAAGAGACAAAGACGAAAAGUGGGAGAUCGUGGGUCAGAAAAUUUUCGGUGAUAUUCCUUGAUACAUACGGGGUAGAGAGAGAAAUCAAAAAGCAGUGUAUUGUGUCUGCUGCUGCUGUGCGCGAACAUGAGAUAUUGGUGAUGUGUUUGUAAGUGCGCGUCUUUAAAGCUUUUUCGUACAAGUUUUAUAUAUAUUUACAUAUACAAUAUACGUGUAACGAGCCACCUUCGUUUCAUCCAACGAUAUGCUAAUUCAGUGAAAACUGGGAAGCAAGUGCUAUUCGAAAAAGAAAUCGAACGAGAUCAACAAAUUUUCUUAACUCUUCUGUUCCUCCUUCAGCUACUGCUAUUGUGUUACGUUUCGGAGUUUCCUUAUUUUUCUUUCCCUUUCCUUUUCUUAUUUUCUUUCUUCCUCUUUUCCUUUUUUUACAUUCACAGACAAAGGUGGCCGCCUUUGGUGCCGCCUCGAGGACUGGCUCUCUCUCUCUCUCCCUCUCUUUCUCUGUGAUAUAGCUUUUUCUCUUUCUCUUUCUAUCUCUUUCCCCUACUCCUACUCCUCUUUUAUCCUUCUCGCUCUUUUUCUCUUGUUCUUUUCCUUCUCUUCGUUCCUCUCUCGGUCCUCUUCACCGCAAUCCGUCUAGUAUAUACACGCGCGUUCGACCCUCGAGGGAAGAAGAAGUGGAAGAAAGAGAAGAAGGAAUUAAAAAAAGAAAAGAAAAAGUAAAAGAAGAAUAAGAAGAAGGAUAAGACGAAGAAGAAGUAUGGAGGCGGUAGCCAAGCACGACUUUACCGCGACAGCCGAGGAUGAGCUUAGCUUUCGCAGGUGUCAAGUCCUUAAGAUUUUGAACAUGGAAGACGAUAUAAAUUGGUUCAGAGCCGAAUUAGAUUCCAGAGAAGGACUCAUUCCAAGUAAUUACAUAGAAAUGAAAAAUCACGAUUGGUAUUACGGAAAGAUAACAAGAGCAGAUGCAGAAAGGCUAUUAAUGAAUAAGCAUGAAGGUGCCUUUCUGAUUAGAAUCAGUGAAAGCUCUCCUGGAGACUUUUCACUAUCUGUAAAAUGUUCAGAUGGUGUGCAACAUUUUAAAGUAUUAAGAGACGCUCAAGGCAAGUUUUUUCUUUGGGUUGUUAAGUUUAAUAGUUUGAAUGAACUGGUAGAAUAUCAUCGUACAGCAUCUGUAUCACGUUCGCAAGAUGUUAAAUUACGUGAUAUGAUUCCUGAAGAGUGUUUAGUGCAAGCAUUAUAUGACUUUGCUCCACAAGAACCUGGUGAAUUGGAGUUCAGGCGGGGAGAUGUAAUAACUGUUACAGAUCGCACAGAUCAGCAUUGGUGGCAUGGGGAAAUUGGUAAUAGAAGAGGACUGUUUCCAUCUACCUACGUUACUCCCUAUCACUCCUAGGUUGUAGAAAAAGAACAAAUGAAUCUUCUGUUUUAGGCCUGAUUUAAUAUAUAAUGCAGGUCUCAACUAUUGACCGCCUUAUCCCACCAUCAAUCAUAUAGAAUGAUUAGUCUCGCUGCAAAAAUACCACUAAUCGAAGAAACCGGGACCUUGGCGAGAAAAGGGCCUAGUUACAAAAAAUAAAAUAAAAUAACAAUUGCAUAA
rnacentral:misc_RNA from 1 species